GGUACAGCUUCCAAUUGUUCACAUCUUGUGUGACAUUCUAAAGCGAAGUACUGCAUUUUCUUCUGAAGUAUCUACACAGUCAAAGAAGUCUUUUGUGACAUACAACCUAUGAAGAACCACACAAUACAAAGAACAGGAGCAAUUUAUCUCCUGAUAGACCUGACAUGACAGACAAGCUACUCAAAUGCAGGUUGAGAUGCCCAAGUGUGCAGCAUAGCCUGGGAAGAUGUUGGGCUUUGUUGGGAAUUUAAGCAGCCUCGUUGAGUUUGGAGGUGAGUAUGUUAAAUAUUUGAGAGAUGCUUGACCUGAUUUUUUUUUAUCAUUAAUUUAGGCACCCGCAUGAAUAAUCUAUUCAGUUGCCUCAAUUUAAUCAUGACAAACCUUCAAUAACCUCUGCUGAAUAAUGAGUAACUUCUGUACAAGUUUUCCUGAGGAGUAGAGAUAGAUCUGAAAUGUCCUCAGGAUAUUUUCACAACCUGAGGGCUGAAAAUUUU
rnacentral:lncRNA from 1 species